GAGUUUUUAAACUAUAAACAAAUCCAAUAAGAAAGUAAAAAUAUUGUUUCAUCGUAGUAUUCCAACAGAUUUCUGAAAAACAAUUGUUUAGUAGCAAUGUAUUUUGUUUUACUCACUCUUCAGAACUGACGCGCUACAAGCUGUAUUGUACAGUGAAGCUGUUUUAGCUGAACCUUCACAAAUAUGAUGCUUGAAGUAGGCUUCAAAAGUAGCAGUCAUUAGUUACAUUGUAUCUUAAAAGGUUUAUCUGAUUUUAAUGGCAAAUGAGCCCUUGUGUUCUUUACUGUGGCAAUCUUCCUUAGGCUGUCCUCAACUCCACUGUACAGUGAAGCUGUUUACAGUGCAUCUAAAAAGAGAAAUUUGUGAAUUAUUGAGUACUGCUUAAGGCAAGAUAGUGUACAAACAGAUUGUUGAAGCUACAUCUACUGGAUUACAAUGAUGUACUGUCUAUUUACCAAAUGUCCCUUCCUGGCUAUGCAAAAGCAUUCUUAUGAGUUGCUGUCAACUUCAGCAUUGUGUGAUAAAGCUGCCGCACUCUACUAAAGGUACUCGGAUUCCAAUGAGGAAGAUGAAGGUGGUGACAAUGCUAAGUUGAGAGAUACUGCCCAGACAGCACAACUUGGUCCUCCUCAGGCCGUCCGAAUAAUGUAAUUUCAGUGCAUCUUCAAAAUAAUAGGUAUCCUCAGGACGUUUAAAUUUUAUCCCGCAGUGAUUCUAGGACAUCCCAGGGACCAGUGAAUGUCCACUAAUUAUGCAUCCUCAGAUGAUCAGAAGGAUGUCUGACUUGGAUGAGCGGCUCUCCCGAGGACUAAAGCAUUUUGUGAUUUUCAGGACGUUUUUAAGACAACAUCCUCAGGACGUCCAGAUGACAACAUUCAUUCACCUUUGGGCUAUCUUUCGGACAAAAUUUAUGGUUCAUCCACAGUACAUCAAAUGGACUAUAUUAAUUGUCCAAAAGAUAUCCUUCAAACUACAUGCGUCUAUUCUUAGGACAACAAUUGGCUCCCCCUAGGAUGAAUUGCCCUGAUUUUUAAAGCACACUUCUGCUGGAAUAAGGCAUUCUAUAAACAAAGAAAACUAAAUGAGUACAUAACUUAGAAAUCAUUUUUGUUCUCGAAAAGCUAUUCUAAUCUUCCUGAAAUUAAAAA